AGGUAACCACUCGUACAUUGCGGUUCCUGCGCAUCGGUCACGCCCAUCUGACAACGACUCGCUACGCUUUGUUGGUC
rnacentral:sRNA from 1 species